GUCGCAUUUCUUCUAGAGGUCAGCUGAAGUCAUGCUCUCUGUCUUGGUCUGCCCAGGAAAUCUGUGACAUUCCUACACUUCGCCAACCUCUGUUGAGUCUAUUUUCUCAUCUUGAUCCACUUGGAUGAUGGCCGACUGUUGCAAAGGAGAAAGAGGAAGAAAUCCAGACCCUGAGUGCUGACAGCAGAUCGUUACAGAAAACUACGGCUGGUCCAAAUGCAGAGAUCGACUGAAUGUGGGGUGCCCAUCCCCAAUGAAUGCAUUCACAACAUUGCCCUUAUACAGGAUGGAAGAGAGGACAGAAAGAUUGUAGGAGCCAGAGGGCCAGGACAUCUGCUUCUACAUAAUCUCCUAUAAAUUAAAAGAAAGGAAAAGAGAAAGGAAGAAAACAUGAGGAGAGACGAUGACUAUUCCUGAAAUGGCAGAUUGGGUUCAUCGUGUAUGCAGACUCUGAUUGCUCCGCCGCCAUGGCUGCCUGGAGCACUGGGCUGAAAAGGACCCAGCUCCUGCAAGAGGGUGUCUCCGUGGUGUGUGAUGUGUGAUUCAAUGCUUUUGAAAGAGUCAGAGAUGGAGUUCAAGACUUCCGACAGACUCUGCACUCAGGCAGGCAGGGGACCUAUCCCUGCCUACUCUGGAGUCUAGGGGAGAGCCUGUGCGAUUGGAUCCUUGAUAAUUUUUGGUUGUGAGCUUAGCCUCUUAGGGCUGAGCCAUCUCUCCAGCCCUUUGAUACUUGAAAAAAUGUUUAUUAAAUAAGUAAAUGAAGGGA